AGAGUUCUGCUUCGUAGGUGACCUGCGGAGGUCAUUA
rnacentral:rRNA from 1 species